rnacentral:rRNA from 1 species
AUGGCGCCGUUCGGGGACGGCGGCGGGAUGGGGGGAGGCCCGUUCGGCAACGGCGGGAUGGGCGGCGGCGCGUUCGGCGGCACCGGACGCGCGUUCGGGCACGGCGGGGAGGACGACCCCGGGUGGGGCUGGGACCCGCUGCGCAGCGGCAGCGCGCCGCCGACCAUGGACGGCGCGCUGCUUGGGGCGGAGGGGGUUCUUGGCGGCGGCGGCGGCGGGGAUUCGUUCUUCUCCGGGGCCGGCGGGCUCGGCGCCCGGCUCGACGAGGUCAGCAGGCGCCGCGGGGUCAUCGACCAGGACCAUUAUGGUAACUCUGCAUUACUAUCUAAAGGUGCAGGAGGCCUCCAGCUUAAUGGUACCAGAGGGUUUGAUGGGCAGCCAUUUAGACCAAGCAUAGUUCACGGUGUUGGCGCAACACCAAACCACUCCACAUUUGAUAUGGGUUCAACAUUGACAGAACAUGAUGCUGAAUUGUAUGGGCAUCAGAAUCACUUCAGGCCAGACAUGGGAAAGAUCAACACUUUUGGCAGAAGGGACUUUGAUUCUACUUAUCUCUCGGAAUCUGAUCUUUCAGAUACUUUCUCUGGAUUGAGGCUAUCUAAUAGGGCAUCAUUUGAUGAAAGGAGUCAUGAGAAAGAGCUGCUUGAUGAAAUGCAUAUGCAUCGCAGAUAUUUCAACUCUAAUAUGGCUGAUGAUAGCCGGCUUCCUUCAGCUGGUAAUGUUUUUCACUCACCUAGGUCCAAGCACAUGGAUUUUCGCCCGACACGUCGAAAUUGUUUCCGUAGGCAGAACAGUUCAAUUGAUGCCCCCAAUGUCCCAAGGAUGAAUCACCAUCACAUGGAUAAUGUUGAUCAACUGUCUUUUGCUGAAAGGCUAACUUUGAUGCAGUCAGGCAAUUUGCGUGGGGAGGCCAAUUAUCUCCGUGAUGCAGCUACGACAAAUAUGAUAAACCCCUUGAGCUGUAGAAACAACACCAUUACAGACUUGGAUUUGGCUAGGAGUCGUAGGGUAUACCUUGAGGAUCAGUUUGCCCGGCAGUGUCUGCAGAAUGAAAGUAGUUAUGUACCAAAAUCUGGUCUCUCUUAUAGUGGUAACAGGCUCUAUCAUGAUGAGCCUUGUUUCCCCUCUUCAAGGGCGCAAAGAUUAGGGUCGCAGUUUCAUCCUAACUUGGGGAGCAUUCCAUGUCACGGUGACCAGCAAUCACGACUCUUCUCUGUUAAUAGAAGGCCAGCUGGUAGGAAUAUGGGCCUACAGAGCAAUCAAGAUAAUGCUGUAGAACACUGCAUAGAUUCUAUUGAUAGAAACAGUGAUGAAACCUUGGAGCUACUUGAUGCAGUUGGCCAUGUCAUGAACGUCAGUGUGGAUCAACAUGGCAGUCGGUUUAUUCAACAGAAACUAGAAGAGGCAUCUGCUGAGGAUAGGGAAAAGAUCUUUCCAGAGAUACUGGCCAAUGUUAUUGCUCUAACAACUGAUGUGUUUGGUAAUUAUGUGAUCCAGAAGUUCUUUGAGUUUGCUACGGAGAGCCAGCUGAAACAGUUAGCAGAUAAACUCAAUGGCCAUAUUAAGGCUCUAAGCGGUCAGAUGUAUGGUUGCAGAGUUGUUCAAAAGGUUAUUGAGGUAGUUGAUAUGGACACAAAGAUUGCUAUAGUUUAUGAGCUCAUGGAUUCUGUUCUGGAUUGUAUCGGUGAUCAGAAUGGCAACCAUGUAAUCCAGAAGUGCAUUGAGUGUGUUCCUGAAGAUCGCAUUCCAUUUGUUAUAGAGCCUAUACUAUCACAAAUUUGUAAGCUUUGCACUCACCAAUAUGGCUGUAGAGUUAUUCAGAGAGUUUUGGAGCAUUGCCGUAAACCGGCGACUCAAAGUGCUGUGAUGAAUGAAAUUGUGCAGCAUGCUUUUGCCUUGACUGAAGAUAAAUAUGGGAACUACGUUGUUCAGCAUGUCUUGCAACAUGGGAAGCCAGAGGAACGGUCGUCCAUUAUUCAGAAGCUCACAGGGCAAGUGGUUAUCUUGAGCCAGCAGAAAUAUGCAUCUAAUGUCAUUGAAAAGUGUUUGACCUACGGAACUCCUGAAGAGCGUGAUGUCCUUAUAAGGGAGAUAUUUUCUUGUGGUCAAACAUUUCAGACACUGAUGAAGGAUCAGUUUGGCAACUAUGUCGUACAGAAAGUCCUUCAGACCUGUGAUGACAAACACCUUGAGAUGAUCCUGUCAAGCAUCAAGGUGCACUUGAACGAACUGAAGAACUACACAUAUGGGAAGCAUAUCGUUGCACGGGUUGAGAAGUUAAUUAUCACAGGAGAGAACCGGGUGCGGAUGGCGUCGAAGCCCUGCCGAUGCCAACAGGCGGCGAAGUGCGCUGACGCUGACGCUGAUUCUUCUUAA